CACGUAGGGUGCGAGCGUUGUCCGGAAUUAUUGGGCGUAAAGAGCUCGUAGGCGGUGUGUCGCGUCGGCCGUGAAAACUCACAGCUUAACUGUGGGCGUGCGGGCGAUACGGGCAGACUAGAGUACUGCAGGGGAGACUGGAAUUCCUGGUGUAGCGGUGGAAUGCGCAGAUAUCAGGAGGAACACCGGUGGCGAAGGCGGGUCUCUGGGCAGUAACUGACGCUGAGGAGCGAAAGCGUGGGGAGCGAACAGG
rnacentral:rRNA from 1 species